rnacentral:rRNA from 1 species
UGAGGAAUAUUGGUCAAUGGGCGAGAGCCUGAACCAGCCAAGUCGCGUGAAGGAAGACUGCCUUAUGGGUUGUAAACUUCUUUUAUACAGGAAUAAAAAGGCUUACGUGUAGGCCAUUGCAAGUACUGUAUGAAUAAGCAUCGGCUAACUCCGUGCCAGCAGCCGCGGUAAUACGGAGGAUGCGAGCGUUAUCCGGAUUUAUUGGGUUUAAAGGGUGCGCAGGCGGGCUUUUAAGUCAGCGGUGAAAUCUGGACGCUUAACGUCCAAACUGCCGUUGAAACUGGGAGUCUUGAGUAUGGAUGAAGUAGGCGGAAUUCGUUGUGUAGCGGUGACAUGCAUAGAUAUAACGAGGAACUCCGAUUGCGUAGGCAGCUUACUAAGCCAUAACUGACGCUCAUGCACGAAAGCGUGGGGAUCAAACAGGAUUAGAUACCCUGGUAGUCCACGCCGUAAAACGAUGAUUACUAGUUGUAUGCGAUAUGAUAGUAUGUGACUAAGCGAAAGCGAUAAGUAAUCCACCUGGGGAGUACGCCGGCAACGGUGAAACUCAAAGGAAUUGACGGGGUCAUAGCUGUUUCCUG